rnacentral:rRNA from 1 species
GACGAACGCUGGCGGCGCGCUUAACACAUGCAAGUCGAACGGAAAGGCCUGCUUUCCCUUGUGGAUUGCGGGUACUCGAGUGGCGAACGGGUGAGUAACACGUGAGUGAUCUGCCCCCAACUUGGGUAUAAGCCUGGGAAACUGGGUCUAAUUCCCGAUAGGACUGCAGGGUGGUGCCUGUGGUGGAAAACGAUUUUCUAGUGGUUGGGGAUGAGCUCGCGGCCUAUCAGCUUGUUGGUGGGGUAAUGGCCUACCAAGGCGGCGACGGGUAGCCGGCCUGAGAGGGUGGACGGCCACAUUGGGACUGAGAUACGGCCCAGACACCUACGGGAGGCAGCAGUGGGGAAUAUUGCACAAUGGGCGGAAGCCUGGUGCAGCGACGCCGCGUGGGGGAUGACGGCCUUCGGGUUGUAAACUCCUUUCGACCGCGAGGAAGCCACCUGGUUGGAAGGGUGGUGACGGUAGUGGUAGAAGAAGCACCGGCUAACUACGUG